UUAAAUUGAAGAGUUUGAUCAUGGCUCAGAUUGAACGCUGGCGGCAGGCCUAACACAUGCAAGUCGAACGGUAACAGGAAGCAGCUUGCUGUUUUGCUGACGAGUGGCGGACGGGUGAGUAAUGUCUGGGAAACUGCCUGAUGGAGGGGGAUAACUACUGGAAACGGUAGCUAAUACCGCAUAACGUCGCAAGACCAAAGAGGGGGACCUUAGGGCCUCUUGCCAUCGGAUGUGCCCAGAUGGGAUUAGCUAGUAGGUGGGGUAACGGCUCACCUAGGCGACGAUCCCUAGCUGGUCUGAGAGGAUGACCAGCCACACUGGAACUGAGACACGGUCCAGACUCCUACGGGAGGCAGCAGUGGGGAAUAUUGCACAAUGGGCGCAAGCCUGAUGCAGCCAUGCCGCGUGUAUGAAGAAGGCCUUCGGGUUGUAAAGUACUUUCAGCGGGGAGGAAGGGAGUAAAGUUAAUACCUUUGCUCAUUGACGUUACCCGCAGAAGAAGCACCGGCUAACUCCGUGCCAGCAGCCGCGGUAAUACGGAGGGUGCAAGCGUUAAUCGGAAUUACUGGGCGUAAAGCGCACGCAGGCGGUUUGUUAAGUCAGAUGUGAAAUCCCCGGGCUCAACCUGGGAACUGCAUCUGAUACUGGCAAGCUUGAGUCUCGUAGAGGGGGGUAGAAUUCCAGGUGUAGCGGUGAAAUGCGUAGAGAUCUGGAGGAAUACCGGUGGCGAAGGCGGCCCCCUGGACGAAGACUGACGCUCAGGUGCGAAAGCGUGGGGAGCAAACAGGAUUAGAUACCCUGGUAGUCCACGCCGUAAACGAUGUCGACUUGGAGGUUGUGCCCUUGAGGCGUGGCUUCCGGAGCUAACGCGUUAAGUCGACCGCCUGGGGAGUACGGCCGCAAGGUUAAAACUCAAAUGAAUUGACGGGGGCCCGCACAAGCGGUGGAGCAUGUGGUUUAAUUCGAUGCAACGCGAAGAACCUUACCUGGUCUUGACAUCCACGGAAGUUUUCAGAGAUGAGAAUGUGCCUUCGGGAACCGUGAGACAGGUGCUGCAUGGCUGUCGUCAGCUCGUGUUGUGAAAUGUUGGGUUAAGUCCCGCAACGAGCGCAACCCUUAUCCUUUGUUGCCAGCGGUCCGGCCGGGAACUCAAAGGAGACUGCCAGUGAUAAACUGGAGGAAGGUGGGGAUGACGUCAAGUCAUCAUGGCCCUUACGACCAGGGCUACACACGUGCUACAAUGGCGCAUACAAAGAGAAGCGACCUCGCGAGAGCAAGCGGACCUCAUAAAGUGCGUCGUAGUCCGGAUUGGAGUCUGCAACUCGACUCCAUGAAGUCGGAAUCGCUAGUAAUCGUGGAUCAGAAUGCCACGGUGAAUACGUUCCCGGGCCUUGUACACACCGCCCGUCACACCAUGGGAGUGGGUUGCAAAAGAAGUAGGUAGCUUAACCUUCGGGAGGGCGCUUACCACUUUGUGAUUCAUGACUGGGGUGAAGUCGUAACAAGGUAACCGUAGGGGAACCUGCGGUUGGAUCACCUCCUUACCUUAAAGAAGC
rnacentral:rRNA from 1 species